CUAGGAUUAGCGUCUGUAUAAAGAGAGACACCUGAGAGCUUCGCCCUGCUAGGAUUAGCGUCUGUAUAAAGAGAGACACCUGAGAGCUUCGCCCUGCUAGGAUUAGCGUCUGUAUAAAGAGAGACACCUGAGAGCUUCGCCCUGCUAGGAUUAGCGUCUGUAUAAAGAGAGACACCUGAGAGCUUCGCCUACACGCUUCCCCACUGAGGGAAGACCAUGUGACUAUACAACAGGAAGGUAGUUGUUUACAAGCCAGGAAGAGAGCCCUCACCAGAAACCAAAUUGGCUGGCGCCUUGAUCAUGGACUCCUGGGCUCCGGAACUGUAAGAAAAUUUGUGUUGUGGAAGCCACCCAGCCCAUGGUAUUUCGUUAUGGCAGCCUGAGCAGAGGUGGUAGCUAUGUGGACAGUUUUUGGACUUCUCUAUUGUUGCCCUUCAUCACUCAGCAGUGAAGAAUGAAAAUCAACAGAGCUUUCCCCAGCCUGCUGCUUAAGCAGCUGCUAGCAGGCUGAGGCUGCCCAGCCUCAUUAACCCAUUAGAUGCUGCGUUCGCCCGGGAGUCAUUCUUAAUGAGGCUGCUGCAGAUGAGAAAACAGAAGCAAAGGCAGAAAGAUGCUACAUUGCCAGCUUUGAAGAUGGAGGGAAGAGGUCACAAACCAAGGAAGGCAAUGAGGACGUUGCACAAGACAGUCCCUGAUACCCAGAGUUUACUGCCUAAGAGAGGAUACAUCCUUCAAACCAAUAAUCUGCUAAUAGCAAGAUCCAAUAGCUUCAUGGAUAUUGAAAGAAACUGAGAAUCAAAUUUGCAUACUUCUGAGUCACUUGGAAACAAAAAACAAGUACAGUCUUAGAUUCUGAGGGAACAAAAAUUAAAAAUCACAUUAGGAAGAGAAUUCCUAAUGUAGGAACUCAUCCUGGAAGAUUCUUCAGCAAAAGUACAGACAAUAAUAAUAAUACUCCAUGAAGUUACCAUCGAUAUUGAAUGAAUUAAUGAAUGUAAAAACCUCAAAACCCUGCCUGGCCCAGAGCUUUGGAAUGGGUUUGGAUCUACCACUCAACUGCUUUAUGACUUCAGACCAGUUAUUUAAAUUCCCUGAAGCUCAGUUUCCACAUCUUUGAGUUUUUAUUAAUGACCUGCCGACAUCAUACAGUUCAUGAAAUGCUCUGGAUGUGUACAUGCUGAUGAUACGACCUCAGACCCAGCAAGAGCUCAG
rnacentral:lncRNA from 1 species